ensembl:rRNA 5S_rRNA 5S ribosomal RNA
GCUUACGGCCAUACCAACCUGGCUAUGCCCGAUCUCGUCUGCUCUCGGAAGCUAAGCAGGUUUGGGCCUGGUUAGUACUUGGAUGGGAGACCGCCUGGGAAUACCAGGUGCUGUAAGCU